CCAACAGAAAAUGGGAUCAUUUUCAAAAUAUCAGCUCUUACUGAUCGGUUUUGGAACAGCAGCUACAUUUAAAAAUCAUAUUAUUAUAAUAUUUUUUAAAACCCAACUUAUUUAAAUAGCCAUGAUCCCAUUGCAAUCUAUUAUUUCCAGAGAAAUGGCUGGAACACUAUGAAGUGUCCAAUAGACUUGUAGACUCACAGCUUACUUUUGUUUAAAGCCUAAACUAGACCUAAACAGUUAAGACUUCCUUCUUUUCUGAGGUUGUGGGGUCUCAAACCAACAGAUCUAGCUUUAACCUAUGAGUUCACUUUCAGUAAAAUGUUCCUACAUUUGCCCUACACCUGCAUCAAAACCAGGGUAGUUACAACUCCUGCACCUUUGCAGACACUGCUCAAUGGCACAGACUUUCAACACCUGCUUGUAAUCUUUCCAUCUCAUUAUUCAGUGGCUACAAGUAGUUAUUUGGAAGCUAUGUACUCAGCUCAAUAACCAUUUUCAGUUUAUUAUUAUGUCUAAUUUGCAGAAAUGGCCUUCAAGGAUUAGAAUUAAAAUAACCCAAGAACUUUGUAAACAAGAAUCAAAAAGCUUCCCAUCAUGAUCCUUUCCUGACCUGAUCAGGAGCUAAAAUUCCACGUGCACUGAUUAAUGCAUUUGCUCUUCCAAACGUGCGUCAGCUUUUUUUAAAAGCAGUUAGAUGCUGCUAAAACCCUAUUCUUCAACCAGCUGCACAUGCUCCAACUUGGAGAGGACCCUGGAACAAAUGCAGCAGCAUAACCAGAUUCCACAGGAGGAACAGAGACAACUAUCAGGCCAGGCUGGCAAACAGCUCAUUUCUCCAGUUUACGAUAAUGCUGUGUGGAUAUGUGACUUUUUUUUGCUUUUUGGCUGAAAGAGACAAAAACCACUGUUUAGGUUUCAAUUAUCUCCAAAAGAAGCAAACAAACAAAAAAUCUACGAAAAUUUCAUUCAAACCCAAAGCAAACAUUGUGGUUUGAGGUAGGGUUUACCUCUUCUUAAGUUAUGCUAUUGCAAUCUUCAAAGUCAGAAUAAUUUUUCCAAAUAUAGAAGUAUUUCUUGCUCAAACAUGUCUAUGUGAAGUGUUUGGAUUGUUGUAUAGCUGUAAUUAUUUUAAAAGAAAUUAUUUGCCAAAUUCAGCAUGUAUUUCCAAAUACCAAAAGCACGUAAGUUUGCCAAAAAAACCCUAAAAAAUUAGAUUCAAAGUUCAUUAGCAUUUACUAGGAAGAUGAAGCAAGAGGCUAAAAUUCAUCUGGAGCUAAUCCACACUACUCAAAAACAAGUCAGUCAAGAAUUUCAGAGGAAAUUUAUACUUAAAAUACUCCACUUUCCUGCAAGGUCACAAAUACUUGAGGAAGUGACUUCAUACCACAAAAGCCCAACAUGCUGACUGUAAAGACAAACACUGACAUUUUGGACACUGUUCUGAAAAUUCUCACUUUGUAUACUAAUAACCCUUUAAAGUGACUUAAAAACUACUUCUUAUAGUUGCUUAAUACCUUCUGCAGAAAUCUCUUAAGUACUUAAAAAGGGCUUUUGAUGAUCUCUGGCUGCUCUUUAUUUUAAAUCUGAAAAUAAGGAGCUUUCAAAGCACAGAUUCAUUGAAAUACCUUAUUUUAAACAAACAAGCUCUGCCUCAAAUAGAGUUCAAGGCCCCAGCAGCUAUCCCACUGGGUCUCUGCUCCCUUUCUGGUGAAUAUUCACAAGUCAGACUUGUUUCCAAUGGAGACAGUAAACACACCAGGGAAACCAGGAGCUUUCAGGAGAUUUUGCUUCUGCUACAUAACCACAACAAAAAUCCUCCUGAUAUACUCAGCAGCAAUCUCCACAGCACCCUUUGCUAUUAAACCAGAUUUUAUUGUUCUGAGGAUUUUGAAUAGAGGGUGGUCUAAGCUGCAAGCAGCAGUAAUCACCUCGUAAGCUCAGAGUUUGCUGGUUACAGCUGGAGAUCUGAUGGCUUUAACAGUCGUCUCUUACAAAAUUGCUGUUACCAUGAAAACUCCUUCAGCGUUCAAGCAACGAAGCAACAUAAAGCAGUAGGCAAUGAGCAUUAAAUAAAACAGUGCCGAGCACUGCCUGUCAGUGCUGCCAUGCACGUUUCUUUUCUGAAAGCACUCCAAAUCAGCUAGAAGAAAACAUUAGGAGAGAAGGAGCACUGAAAGUGCAAAUAAUAGCAGGUGUAACUUUCCUAACAGUCACAAUAUACCUAACAAUACUGGUGAUACCGUGAGUCUCAAAAUGGACAAGUUGGGAAAGGGUUCUGGAUUCAGAAGAAAUACCUUGGUUAGGUCUUGGCAACCAGCAACCACACCUCUGGGGCAACCAGCCUCAGCUCCAUCGCUGUCUCUCAGCAGCACCCAAGCCAGAAGAUCUGACAUUGCACAACCGGCUACUCAGGCCUGGGCAGAUGAGCAGGCAGUGCUGCAGCAGGACCAGGUUCGACAGGAUAAGAUCUGGAGGGAGUCUGUGGUGGCUGAACAGAGAGUAAGAAAAAUCUGGUACCAGAAAUGGAGUUUCCUAAAGGACUAUGACCAAAUGGGUAAGAAAAAGGAGCAGAAGCCACUGCCAGACUAUAUGCCUGUGUUCUCAAGCAAUGUUCCCAACUCGACCAACCAGAUGAUUGGCAGUCGAAUGAAUACUGAACUUGGCAGGGCUCUGGUAAACAUGGAUUACUUCUUCAGCAGUGGUGCACGAAAGAGGAAACUUGAGGGUGAGCUCCAGCCUUCCUAGUGCUUCAGUAAAAAUACUGGUAACAAAUCAAGUUGAAUGGUUCUAGCCAAUAGACUCCACAGCACUGAAGUUAGCAUGUAAAAAAAUCCUCAAUCUUUUUCUGAGAGAGACCAAUACUACUGUCUAGCAUGGAUUUUUUUUUUUUUUCCAAGAGCAAAGAUGGAUGUUGUCCAACAAUGCCACACGAGACAACCCUCUUUGUAUUUGGAGUGACUGGGCCAUAUACAGUGUUAGCACUACAGAUCUCAUCCAUCUUUGCAUGCAAGUCUACAGUAAGGUUGCCACUAACAUCAGAAAGAACAAGAUUGCAGCCAAAAGGCAAUUUCUUCCUGAAUUUUUAUCUCCUGAAAAUAAACAAUUAAUGGAGACCUGCUCAGAUAAGCCCCAACAUAAACAACAUACUUUCAAUUCUGAAAGUCAGCACAAUAAAAUGCAGCAGCUUAUCACAGAAUGGUUUGGGUUGGAAGGGACCUUAAAGACCAUCUAGUUCCCACCCCCCUUUCAUGUAGUUAGCCAAGGAUUCAUCAGCCUCUGUCAUCUGCAUGUUUAAGCUUGCUCUAAAGAAUAAAAUUUAAGGCACGUGAGAUGUGUUCUGUGCUUUUUCACCCUCCCUACUGAGGGAAGGAGACCAAAUUUUUUUCACAGUAAUUUUAAUUUUUGUUUCUUUAGAUUUGCUGCUCUGCAAUUAUCUUCUAUUACUCCCUUUUUCUGGUUUAGCUGACACAAACUGACAAGGAAGCAGGCUUUCACAUUUUGCUCUGAAGGCAUGCUGGCUCAGCAUUAGGAUCAUCAACACUGAACUGAACAGGUUCAUACUUCCUAAAAUCUGUGGUUGCCCAAGGAAAUCAUCAUCAAGCUAAAUCAACACAAUACUUAAAGUCUGUUCACUAGUGUAUUUUCAUUUCAUAGACACAAACUUUGUUUAUGACCUGUUGUUCUGUAGGGAAAAAGCAGUAAUCAGCAGAGCAUGGAGAGUGUAUAUACAAUAUCUGCCUUUUGAACUGUACGUAGCUUCUGAGGCUCAUGCUCAGUCCUAGGUGGAGAUCAACACAGAAGCCAUUAGCAUCACCUUAAUACAACAGGCUGCAGUCUCUCACCAGACUGAGGUGGAGAUGUGUAUACUUAUGCUCUGCAACUGAGGCUAUUUGUUUUUGUGGUAAGAGGUCAGCAGCAAAAAGCAGUUAAAAAACAUAAGAGGUGGUAUGGAACAGUGGGAUCACUGUCAACAUCCAAGCGGUGUCUGGAAAAAACCUUCAAAAGACACUGUAGAAAGAAGAGCCAAAAAUUCCACUCACUGAAGUCACAGCACCAAGCAGUGCUCCUCCUGGCUUCAAUGCAGUGAGAACUGGAGGAUUAAGGCUUUCAAGAUGAGUUAAGCUACCUAGAGAAGGAAGACCACAUCAUGCAGUCAGCCCAGGCGAGACGUGACUUAAUCGUGCACACACCUGAGAGGCUCAACUAGUGCCAUCCUCACAGCAACGUAAGAACACUUCUCAAAGAGCACGUUUAUGCCAUUAUGUCAUGUGAAUGAAUGGGAAUAACUUAAUUUUCUUUCAACCAUUUCAGGAAGCCUUUACUAAUCAAGUGUAGUUCUGAUUGUGUCCUUCAUCAGAUAAAGCAUGCGUUGAGAUGCCAGGCGGUUCCUGCAGUGGGUAGCUGCAGGGAUUACAUGUAUACAGCACAGUAAGACCCUUACACACCCCUGCCCUCCUUCCCAGCUGUACUUCUUUGCACAGGUCACUUCAGUCCAAUGGAUCACAAAAGGAAAGUCUGUGGGUAUACCAAAAUAUACAAGGAUUUUUGGCUUAAUCAUUGAAGUGUGCAACCUUGGAAAAUGAAGCUCUGUGCCUUGUAAGAUCACAGAAACGCACAACUGCGUUGCCUCUUCUGGUGUAGAAUUAAGUUAAUACCUUUACUUUCUGAUUAAGCUAAUUGAAACAACUCUAAAAUACUGGUGGGCAACAACUGGAUAGGAGUAGCUCUAUUCAUUCCCAAAACUCCAGUUCAUUCCUAAUUCCUGAUGAAAUCAAUAGCAACACUUAAGCAUCUGACAUCUUAAUGACUAUCUCUAAGGGGAAAGUGACUGUUUAGAGAAGUUUCCCAUGUGGAAUAGAUCUGAUAAUCCACAUGAUAUGGAAACAUUGUGUUGAAAUGGACACCUUAUUUUGUUCAAUUGUUACACUUUCCUUGGAAAUGCAAAUUAUUUUAUGCUGCUGCAGUUAGCCCUCCUCUGGUACGCAGCACUGCAUUUCUGAAGUAAAUUUGGAUCUCUCUACCAUGUACAGCAAUCUCCAGAAAAGACCUUUUGGGACUAUCCAAGGUCCUAAUCAAAACUGCCUUAGCAUCUGCAAGUAGAAGGCAGUAAACAGAUAUUCUCUAGAUGACCUUUUCAUCCCUAGUUUAACAAUCAUUUUUCUUUUACCACAAUUAACUUUGCCAACUAAUCCUUAUUUACAUAAGCAGAGUCUCUUAGAAAGACUGGAUAAGAUGAUAACAGCAUUGAAAUCUGUAAAUAAUCAGUGGAAAUUCCAUUCAUUAAAGAGAUUGUGUAGAUAUUAAACUGUGUUCUAAACUUCUUGUAAAGAGUUCUUAUGAUGUAUCACUUGUGCUUCAGUUCUGUAAGCUUUUUUCCCUUUUGCUGCCAGAUUUCAAACAAGAGAUUAUACGUGUUUAGACACUUCAUUUUCUGUAUUUCUUUCAGUUAAAGAACACAAGUGGGUAGCUAUAUUAAUUUAAUUCUUCAGUUAGAUACACUGCUUUCCCUGGCAGACUUUUGAAGAUUAAUAAUUGUAACUUGGUACACAGAUGUUUUCAGUGCCUCCAAAUUUUGUGUGUUCUCAAGUUCUGCUUAUAAUAAAAAAGUGUGAAAUAUAUUUUUAAACAAAACAUCACAUGUAUAAGUUCAUAUAAAUCUGUAUUUCUCAUACUUUUAGAACAGUCUUUGUAUAUCGUUCCCAGCU